CUCUCUCUCUCUCUCUCUCUCUCUCUCUCUCUCUCUCUCUCAGCUGCAAGACAUCAAAAGGAGAUGCAUCAAGGCAAAGGAAGAGCUGUCGGAGAAUUUGCACGUUAGAUUGAAGUGGAUAAUGUAUAUAGAGAGGCGCCUGUACGAGGCGGACACGCGCGUCUCCAUGCAUCAAGAGAGUGUUCGGUGCCUGGCUGGACUCCUGCAGGUGGUGGAGCAGAUUCACCGCGCCCCGAGGGUCUAUGCCGCAGCCGUCACGGAGGUGGCUCGCCGGCACGCCUUCUCCAGGGCCUUCCUGCAGUGGGCGUCUGAGCUGAGCAGCCAGAGUGGAGAGGUGUGGAGGCGCGAGGUGGAGGCAAGAAGAGGCUUUUCCCAAGACUUCUCCACCCACUUCCUAGCCUCUCUCUUUCCUGGUAUGGAAGAUCUGCCUCCUAAUUUUGCAACCUCUCUACCAUCCCAGUUUGACAUGGCUCUCCCUAAGGUUACCAAGGAAAAUAUAGAUGAAUUGAGAAGACUGCUGCCAGAACUUUCUCACUGUCUGGUCAUUGGUGAGGUUCUGGCAGUUCCCCCUCUGCUUCGCCAUGUCACAGCUGGCCUCAACACACAGGAGGAGAGGAGGAGGAGGAGGAGGAGGAGGAGGAGGAGGAGGAGGAGGAGGAGGAGGAGGAGGAGGAGGAGGAGGAGGAGGAGGAUGAAGAACGAGGAGCAGGAAGACAAGGAGCAGGAGGAGGAUGAGGAGGUGAAAAAGGAGGAGGAGGAAAAGGAAGGCUCCAGGAGAUUACAAGACAAGCACACAAGAUUAUGAGAUGAAAGAAAAGGAGGGAGACGAGGAGGAAGAAGAAGAAUAAGAGGAGGAGGAGGAGGAGGAGGAGGAGGAGAAGAGGUGCUCUAUGAAGACCAAACAGCAUUUCACAGCUCUUCCUGACUACCCAAAGCACAUCAAACUGGACAAGCACAGGUUGGCCUCUCCCCCUCCACCACCACCACCACCACCACCACCAUCACUGACUUUAUAUUAACAGAUUUAUAUAUUGAAGAUAUUUUUCCUUUUAGUUUUGAAGAAGAGGAGGAGGAAGAGGAAGAGGAAGGAGGAGGAGGAGGAGGAGGAGGAGGACGAGGGUUAGGUGUGGCCCUCCCUCCCCCUCCCACACCACUGCAGUCCCAGCCUCUGAUUGGCCAGCCCUCAGCCAAUCAGGAGAGAGACUUUAUGGCCUUGCAGGUGGAGGAAGGCCGAAGGGAACUGGAGGAGGAGAGAAAGAGGCACAGGCUGGAGGUUGAAAACAAAAGGUCUAGAUUUAGAAUGAUGACAACGACCACAGCCACCACCAGCACCUCCCCCACUAGUCUGCCUUUCUCUUCAAGUCCCAGCGAGGAGCACCCGCCCUCCUCCCCCAGCCUCCUCUCUCAACAGAUGGGAGGUGAGAGGGAGAGAAAGAGACAAAGAGAGAAAGAGGGAGAGGACACCCCACAAUUCACACUGGACAGACUGAGAGAGGAACUGAUGAAAGAGAGAGAGAUAGAGAUUGAAGAGAGAAUUGCAAGUGUAAGAGAGGAAGAAAGGAGGAAAUUAGAUGACGAAAAACAGUAUUACGAAUUGUUCAGGUGGUCGAAUGUUCCAGCUAUCGGUUUACUCCAGCCACCCUCACUGAGCAGAUAUGAAAACAAGAGCCGCUGAGAGGUUUGAACUAUUCGUCUGCUGCUUUUAGUGUUUGUGGUGCUGCUCCAAGUUGUUCUCUUCGCUUAUUCCAAGGCCAUCAGUCGUGGCAAGAACCAGUAAAAUCAUACAACUUCAGGCAUUUAAGUACUUCAACAACUCGAUUACUCUUUUUACUGGCAGUGGUAGUGUUCCAGAGAGAGAGAGAGAGAGAGAGAGAGAGAGAGAGAGAGAGAGAGAGAGAGAGAAUU